UACAGAGGUCUCAAGCGUUGUUCGGAUUCAUUGGGCGUAAAGGGUGUGUAGGUGGCGCGCUAAGUCGGGUGUGAAAGCCCGAGGCUCAACCUCGGAACUGCCUUCGAUACUGCGGGUCUCGAGUCCGGGAGAGGUGAGUGGAAUUCCUAGUGUAGAGGUGAAAUUCGUAGAUAUUAGGAAGAACACCGGUGGCGAAGGCGGCCUGCUGGGCAGUUGCUGACACUGAGGCGCGACAGCGUGGGGAGCAAACAGG
rnacentral:rRNA from 1 species